rfam:Otolemur garnettii contig162122, whole genome shotgun sequence.
GCCAGGCGUUGUGGCGGGUGCCUGUGGUCCCAGCUACUUGGGAGGCUGAGGCAGGAGACUCGCUUGAGCCCAGGAUUUGGAGGUUGCUGUGAGCUGUGAUGCCACAGCACUCUACCCAGGGUGACAGCUUGAGGCUGUGUUUCAAAAAAAAAAAAAUUAUUUCCCACUUCUUUCUCUUUUUUUUUUGAGACAGAGCCUCAAGCUAUCCCCCUAGGUGGAGUGCUAUGGCAUCACAGCUCACAGCAACCUCCAACUCCUGGGCUCAAGCGAGUCUCCUGCCUCUG